rnacentral:rRNA from 1 species
UGAGGAAUAUUGCGCAAUGGGGGCAACCCUGACGCAGCAACGCCGCGUGAACGAUGAAGGCCUUCGGGUUGUAAAGUUCUUUUCUGAGGGAAGAUAAUGACGGUACCUCAGGAAUAAGUCCCGGCUAACUACGUGCCAGCAGCCGCGGUAAAACGUAGGGGGCGAGCGUUAUCCGGAUUUACUGGGCGUAAAGCGCGCGUAGGCGGCGUUAUAAGUUGGACGUGAAAGCUCUCGGCUCAACUGAGAGAGGUCGUUCAAUACUGUAGCGCUUGAGGUUGACAGAGGAGAGUAGAAUUCCCGGUGUAGUGGUGGAAUGCGUAGAUAUCGGGAGGAAUACCAGUGGCGAAGGCGACUCUCUGGGUCACACCUGACGCUGAGGUGCGAAAGCGUGGGGAGCGAACGGGAUUAGAUACCCCCGUAGUCC